rnacentral:rRNA from 1 species
GGUUAAGUCCCGUAACGAGCGCAACCCUUGUCCUUAGUUACCAGCACGUUAUGGUGGGCACUCUAAGGAGACUGCCGGUGACAAACCGGAGGAAGGUGGGGAUGACGUCAAGUCAUCAUGGCCCUUACGGCCUGGGCUACACACGUGCUACAAUGGUCGGUACAACGAGUUGCGAGUCGGUGACGGCGAGCUAAUCUCUUAAAGCCAAUCUCAGUUCGGAUUGUAGGCUGCAACUCGCCUACAUGAAGUCGGAAUCGCUAGUAAUCGCGGAUCAGCACGCCGCGGUGAAUACGUUCCCGGGCCUU